rnacentral:misc_RNA from 1 species
GAUGAAGAACGUAGCGAUAUGCGAUAAGUAAUGUGAAUUGCAGAAUUCAGUGAAUCAUCGAAUCUUUGAACGCACAUUGCGCCCGUCAGUAUUCUGGCGGGCAUGCCUGUUCGAGCGUCAUUACGCCCCUCAAGUCCCCUGUGGACUUGGUGUUGGGGAUCGGCGAGGCUGGUUUUCCAGCACAGCCGUCCCUUAAAUUAAUUGGCGGUCUCGCCGUGGCCCUCCUCUGCGCAGUAGUAAAACACUCGCAACAGGAGCCCGGCGCGGUCCACUGCCGUAAAACCCCCCAACUUUUUAUAGUUGACCUCGAAUCAGGUAGGACUACCCGCUGAACUUAAGCAUAUCAAUAAGCGGAGGA